AAAAGUGAAAGACGGUCUUGCUGUCACUUAUAGAUGGAUCCGCGCUGCAUUAGCUAGUUGGUAAGGUAACGGCUUACCAAGGCAACGAUGCAUAGCCGACCUGAGAGGGUGAUCGGCCACACUGGAACUGAGACACGGUCCAGACUCCUACGGGAGGCAGCAGUAGGGAAUCUUCCGCAAUGGGCGAAAGCCUGACGGAGCAACGCCGCGUGAGUGAUGAAGGUCUUCGGAUCGUAAAACUCUGUUAUUAGGGAAGAACAUAUGUGUAAGUAACUGUGCACAUCUUGACGGUACCUAAUCAGAAAGCCACGGCUAACUACGUGCCAGCAGCCGCGGUAAUACGUAGGUGGCAAGCGUUAUCCGGAAUUAUUGGGCGUAAAGCGCGCGUAGGCGGUUUUUUAAGUCUGAUGUGAAAGCCCACGGCUCAACCGUGGAGGGUCAUUGGAAACUGGAAAACUUGAGUGCAGAAGAGGAAAGUGGAAUUCCAUGUGUAGCGGUGAAAUGCGCAGAGAUAUGGAGGAACACCAGUGGCGAAGGCGACUUUCUGGUCUGUAACUGACGCUGAUGUGCGAAAGCGUGGGGAUCAAACAGGAUUAGAUACCCUGGUAGUCCACGCCGUAAACGAUGAG
rnacentral:rRNA from 1 species